rnacentral:lncRNA from 1 species
CAUUAUUACAGGCAUGAGCCACCACGACCCACCUCAAGUGUUUUUUAAGUUAAAAAAUUAUUUAACUUAACCUCCAAAUUAGGAGGUCUGCUAGAGUACUUCUCUGAAUAAUAUUUUUCUAUAAAGUGUACAUGGGUACACUUUAUAGAAAACACCUGCUUAUAUUUUCUGGGUCCUUGAAUGAAUGGAGAAGGUGUGACAGUACUUUCUGUCAGACUGCAUGUGAAGUACAGCUUAACUGGGUACAGGAUUCUUGGGUCACAAUCAUUUUCCCUCAAACUUCGCAGAUGUUACUUCACUGUAUUUUGGCACUUGGUGUUAAAGUAGAGAAGUAUGAUGAUAUUUGAUUCAUUUUCUCAGAUGUAGUCAUUUUAAAUAAAGUGUCUCAAUAUCUGUGAGAUUUCUUUUUUCUGUCCUUAAAAUAUUUAAAACUUCUGAUUAUAAAAGUAAGAUUGGAGAUUACCAAACAUUUGGAAAGUACAGAAAAUUUAAACUAUAAAAUUUAAAAUAACCAAUGAACAAAUAAUAUUUCACGAUAACUCUUAUUAAUAUUUAUUGGUGUGUUUCCUUCCAGUCCAGGCCAGACUAUUUUAAAAUAAAGAUAAUAGAUAUUUAAAGUAAUCUAUUUAACAUAUUUAAAAUAUUUUCAGAGCAUUCAAGCUCCUCUAUACAUUCCAAAUUAAGAAGCCUUGAUAAUAAUGACUAACAUCUAUUAAGUAAUUCUACUACAUGCCAGGCACUCUUUUAAAUGUUUUACAUGUAUUAAUUAAUUUAACCUUUAUUAUAAGCCCAUGAGGAAGAUAAUGUUUAUCUCUACUUUGUUUUUCUUUUUUUCUUUUUUUUCAUGAGGCUCUGCUUUCACGGUCUGUAUUCGUACUAAAAAUCAACAUCAAGCGAGCUUUUGCCCUUCUGCUCCACGGGAGGUUUCUGUCCUCCCUGAGCUCGCCUUAGGACACCCGAGAUCGC